AAGGAAGCCAUUGGAUAAUUGUAGGCAAGAGUAACAAAGCAAUUUGUACUUUUAAAUUAUCACCUUAGCUACUUUGUGGAAAAUGAAAUGGAAAGUGACAAGAUAAUUAGAGACGAGCGUAGUCAGGAGAUUACCGCAGUAUUCCAGGUGAAGAAACGACAGUGAUCUGAACCAAAACUGAAGAGAAAUGGAUGAUAUAUACUUUUUGCAAAAUAGAAUCCAAGUGGCUCGGGUUGGACAGAUUAGGUUCCUGGGAAAGAAAAGGAGGAGUCAGGAGUAGCCCAGUGCUGACGUGUACGGGUGGUGGAUGAGGCCAGUCACUGAUUUGGGAAAAGUCUGUGGAAUAAAAGCUCUUAAAAACAAAAGGGAGGAAGGGAACAAAUCAACAGUCCAGCAUAGUUGUAUUAAUUAUGAAAUAUCUAAGGAAGAGCCAAGUGGAAGUGUGGAAAGUUAGUUAGAGACCCAAGUAUGGAGCUUGGAAGAGGGUUUUAGCUAAUGAGAGGUCAUUAGAGGGGAGUUUUUUUAAUGCCAUCUUACAUAUGUCUAAAUGAUUUACUUUGCAAAUAUGAUCUAGCAUAAUAUAUCAAUCGUUCGAGCUCUUUCCAGUAGGGUGCCCUAUUUUGAGUAUCAUAUGGAACAGGGAGAUAAGGACUCACGGUCAUGGAAAACACAAAUAGAUGUUUUACUUUGUUUCUUUUCUCAAUGAUUGUGUACGUUUAGUUAUUACAUUUCACACAUGGAAAAACUGGGACUUAAAAGUCUAAUUAAAUUUGUCCUAAGAUCCCUCGUAUUGUAAGGGGCAGAACCAGGAUUCAAGCUUAGGUUUUUGUUAUUAAAACCAUUCUCUUUAUACCCCCGUGAUAUAAAUACAUAUUUUUUUUCCUUUUCUUCCUUCGUGAGAGUUAACGGUAACAGUAAAUCGUCUCCAGAAUAGAGGCAGGUACAGUGAUGUUGCUAUAAGGACGGGCCCACCUGGAGCUGGUGAAGUAGCCUCCCUUCCUAGAAGCUAGGACUACCUUGAAGUGCAGCCCCUAAGUGUUUUCUAGGAGCAGCUGAUGAAACGGUGGUAUGAGGUGUGCAAUGGAGAUAUUGUGGAUUUGGUUCCAGAGCACUACAAUAAAGCAGAUAUUGCAGUAAGAAUGUCAUGUGCAAGAUACAAAAGGAGAGACCCAAACCAGAGACAUAUUCAGGAACUCAUCAGUUGUAAUGGAGAAUAUCCCAAUAUUAUCCCAACCAAUAUCUCAAAUUGUUAAUUAUCAGGAAAAAGGAUGACAUUGAGAGACGAGAAAACGAGUGAGAAAUACACCACUAUCUCCCUUUAGAAUGACAACAAAACAAAACAAAACCCUAAGAACCUGACAUUACCAGUAUUUAAGAAGAUGCAGAGCAACAAGAAUUCUCGUUCAUUCCAUCUGUUUUGAAGACAGGCAGUUUCUUAUAAAGCUAAACAUAGUCUUACUAUACAAUCCAACAAUAGCUCUGUUAGCUAUUUGUCCAAUGGAUUUGAAAACGUAGCCACACAACACCUGCAUGCAAAAGUUUAUAGCAGCUUUCCUGAUAACUACCAAGUAUUGGAAGUAAAUAAUUGUCCUUCAGUCAGUGAAUGGAUAAACCAACUGUGGCAUAUCCACAUUAUGGAAUAUUAUUCAGCAAUAAAAAGAAAUGAACUAGGAAGUCACAAAAAGAGAGAGACCUUCAGUGCAUAUUGUUAUAUGGAAGAAACCAAUGUGAAAAGGCUACAUAUUGUAGGAUUCUGAUUCUAUGACAUAUUGGGAUUGGCGAAAGUAUAGAGAUGAUAGAAAGACCAGUUGUUGCCAGCGUUUCAGGGGACUUCGAGAGGGUUGAAUGCAUGAAGCACAGGGGAUUGUUUAGGGCAGGGAAAUAAUUCUGUAUGUGACUCUACUGGUUGACACGUGACUUUAUGCAUUUGUCAAAACCCAUAGAAGUUUACAAUAGGAAGAGUGAACUUUACACGAAUUAAAAAAUAUAUAUAUCUUUGGAUGUCACAGGAUCCCAGGAUUGAAUGCAGAAUGUGAUAAAACAAUUGAACUGUAUAAUAAAUCUAUGAAACCACCUCAUAAGGAGAGGAGUGAGGAAUGGAGGCUGGCUUAAGUAACUUUGAAAUUUAGUAGAAUAUAUAAAAUUAAAGGCAAAGGAAACUGUACACUGUUACUGGAUUCUGUGUGUUAGGAAUUACACCACUUCUCUAUAUUUAUACUGAGGUUGAACAAUUAAGUAAAUGGUUAGUGGAUAAUGGGCCACAUUUCUCGCUGUUGUAGUAGGAGGCUAUAGAUAAACGA